CACAAGCGGCGGAGCAUGUGGCUUAAUUUGACGCAACGCGAAGAACCUUACCAAGGCUUGACAUACACCGGAAAGCAUCAGAGAUGGUGCCCCCCUUGUGGUCGGUGUACAGGUGGUGCAUGGCUGUCGUCAGCUCGUGUCGUGAGAUGUUGGGUUAAGUCCCGCAACGAGCGCAACCCUUGUCCCGUGUUGCCAGCAGGCCCUUGUGGUGCUGGGGACUCACGGGAGACCGCCGGGGUCAACUCGGAGGAAGGUGGGGACGACGUCAAGUCAUCAUGCCCCUUAUGUCUUGGGCUGCACACGUGCUACAAUGGCCGGUACAAUGAGCUGCGAUACCGCAAGGUGGAGCGAAUCUCAAAAAGCCGGUCUCAGUUCGGAUUGGGGUCUGCAACUCGACCCCAUGAAGUCGGAGUCGCUAGUAAUCGCAGAUCAGCAUUGCUGCGGUGAAUACGUUCCCGGGCCUUGUACACACCGCCAGUCAGGUCACGAAAGUCG
rnacentral:rRNA from 1 species